UUAAGAUAAAUGUAAGUGGCACUUUCAUAAAAAAAAAGGCCUGUAACAAAUGUUUCUAUUGUUAAUUAUCUGAGCAUAGUGCGAUUUGUUUGUUGUUUUCAUAUCUUUAAAAAAAAUAUGACUGUAAUUGUCCAUUGUAGAGAAUCUUAAUGUGAUGUUGUAUUUUCCCUUAAUAUGUACUGUUAACUUAUCUAGUAUACUAAUCUUCAAUAGAUCAGAGUGAUUAAAUUGAAUGUUGAUACUUGUUAAAAUUAAAUGCGUGCAUUUCAUGGUCAAUUAGUACUGGUGUUUGAAAGGUGAAUGAUUUACUGAUGUAUGACACAGGUAGAAAAAGUCUGUUUGAUUACGCUCAAUGGACUGACACAAAGGUGAAGUGUGCAUUGCACUUGUGACUUGCUUAUGCUAGUUUUAAAUAAAUUUAAAAAGGAAAUUAUUUCA
rnacentral:lncRNA from 1 species